UACGAAGGGUGCUAGCGUUGUUCGGAAUUACUGGGCGUAAAGCGAGUGUAGGUGGUCUCCUCAGCCAGAGGUGAAAUCCCGGAGCUUAACUUCGGAAUUGCCUUUGGUACUGGGAGGCUAGAGUCUGUUAGAGGAUAGUGGAAUUUCCAGUGUAGCGGUGAAAUGCGUAGAUAUUGGAAGGAACACCAGUGGCGAAGGCGACUAUCUGGGACAGAACUGACACUAAAACUCGAAAGCGUGGGUAGCAAACAGG
rnacentral:rRNA from 1 species